rnacentral:misc_RNA from 1 species
GCAAACUUGGUCAUUUAGAGGAAGUAAAAGUCGUAACAAGGUUUCCGUAGGUGAACCUGCGGAAGGAUCAUUACAGAAUAAAUGUGAUAGGUUGUCGCUGGCCCUUGGGCAUGUGCACGCUUGUCAUUUUUAUCUUUCCACCAAGUGCACUUUGCAUAGGACUGAAAAGCUUUUUGAUCAAGGGGGUCACCUUUGAUUUCUGGAGACUGCAGUUGUAAUUCAAUGACAGCUUUCUCUGCCUUCAGUUCCUAUGAUUUUAUACACAUACACCAAUUGCAUGUUAAAGAACGUAGUACUUGGCUUUUUCAAGCCUUUAUGAAAAUACAACUUUCAGCAACGGAUCUCUUGGCUCUCGCAUCGAUGAAGAACGCAGC